rnacentral:rRNA from 1 species
UACGUAGGGUGCGAGCGUUAAUCGGAAUUACUGGGCGUAAAGCGUGCGCAGGCGGUUUUGUAAGCCAGAUGUGAAAUCCCCGGGCUUAACCUGGGAAUGGCAUUUGGGACUGCAAGGCUUGAGUUUGGCAGAGGAGACUGGAAUUCCUGGUGUAGCAGUGAAAUGCGUAGAUAUCAGGAGGAAUACCGAUGGCGAAGGCAGGUCUCUGGGCCACUACUGACGCUGAGAAGCGAAAGCAUGGGGAGCGAACAGG